rnacentral:lncRNA from 1 species
ACACACAGACUCCCAAAGCCUUUUUUCACAUGCAGACACAGGAGUAAAUGAAUAUCUAAAAAAUAUUGUUUAUUUCUUCUGUUGUUGUUUUCUGUUUUCGAGACAGGGUGUUUCUUUGUGUAGCCCUGCCUGUCCUGGACUCGAUUUGAAGACCAGAUUGGUGUCAAACUCACAGGGAUCAGCGUGCCUCUGCCUUCCGAGUGCUGGGAUUCAUUACCAUUGCCCAACUCCACUGAAUGGAAACUUAGGGCUGGUCUGGUAUGGAUCAUGAGGAGACCUAGGGACUUGUCUGUCCCCAAGAAGGGAAGGUGCUCUGCGCUGAGACUGGGGUCCCUGUCACUCUCCUCUGUUCCUGUGAGUGCCACAGGCCUGGAGCAUGCUGAGGUAGAGGCAAGCCAUCCUCUCUUGGCUCCGGUUGCUUCCUUAAGUAGGUGCGGUGCGGCUGUUUCCUUUGCAGAGUCCGGCAGCAGCUCUCUUCCCUGACAGCCUUUCCUCGGCUCACUUGAGCCACGAGAAAACUCAGAAGACACAGAAACAAGUGACUGAAAGAGUCAUGCCACCCUUCCAAAUUCUCUGCUGCCCACACAAACUCCCACACAGAGGUGCUGGGGUCAGGCCCACUCUUCUCUCAAAUGCCCCUCUGUCGUGGGGAAAGCUGUGGGGGCAAAGUGACAGAGACAAUGCCCCGCCCUCUUUGUGUGUGUGUGUGUGUCUCAUGCAUGUUCUCGUGCACGUGCCUAGAGGGAGAGUUGGCACAAGACAGCAACCAGAAAAACUCAAUCUUGUGGCUCCCCACUUAAAUGUCUUGCGACUCAUUCCAAGACAAGAGAAUUCAAGACUUUGCAUCUGUUUCAGCGACGGUCACCAGGAAGGAGAAGGGGGCUUACUGCUGUCUCAAAUGAUGAAGAGUCACACAAUAUAAUGCUUGUAUAUGCCAUCCAAUCACGUGACUGCUGUGCACCACAAAAUAAAAGCAACACGUAUCUGAUGCCAAAGUUGUACCAUGGGCCAGAGAAAAGCAAGGGACCAGCCGUCCAGCUGUCUCUUCUCUGCUUUGACAGAGCCCCGACACCCAGAGAACCUGUUUCCUCUCCCUUGCUUUGUUUGAGGCUAGAUAAGCGGAGGCGUGAGAGUGUCCAGGAGCGGUGGAGGGAGGGGCUGGGGUUUGGAGUUUAAAGGAUCUCAUGAAGCCUUGGCGGCUGUAGGGCCAGGAGAAGCUUUGCUAAUAAAACGUCACGUCUCUCCGACUAGGACAUUUGAUCGUUGCUCAAAAUGCGGUCAGGCCUGUUUGGGGCUUGGCUCACCGUUCC